rnacentral:rRNA from 1 species
UCCGUAGGCGGCCCGGCAAAUCGGUUGUGGAAUCCCGACGCUCACCGUCGGAAUUGCUGCCGAAAAUACCGGGCUGGAGGUCGUCAGGGGCGAGUGGAACUCAUGGUGGAGCGGUGAAAUGCGUAGAUAUCAUGAGGAACGCCGGAGGCGAAAGCGACUCGCUGGGACGAUUCUGACGCUGAGGGACGAAAGCCAGGGGAGCAAACA